GAUGAACGCUGGCGGCGUGCCUAAUACAUGCAAGUCGAGCGAACAGACGAGGAGCUUGCUCCUCUGACGUUAGCGGCGGACGGGUGAGUAACACGUGGAUAACCUACCUAUAAGACUGGGAUAACUUCGGGAAACCGGAGCUAAUACCGGAUAAUAUAUUGAACCGCAUGGUUCAAUAGUGAAAGACGGUUUUGCUGUCACUUAUAGAUGGAUCCGCGCCGCAUUAGCUAGUUGGUAAGGUAACGGCUUACCAAGGCAACGAUGCGUAGCCGACCUGAGAGCGGGAGGGGCAACACAGGAACGCAGAUCACGCGAAGACAGCGAGGGGAGGGAGCAGUAGGGGAUCUACCGCAGUAGGCGAACGUCUGAAAGAGCAUAGAAUUGGGAAAAAUGAAAGGUUACAAGUAAUAAAGCACUGUUGGUAGGGAAGAAAUAGUAAAGAAACAAAUAAGUGAGUACCAUGACGGGACAUAACAAGAAAGACAGGGCAAGCUAGGCC
rnacentral:rRNA from 1 species